CGGAGGCCAGCUCCGGUGCAGGACCCGGAUGUAUUGUGUUCCUUUUCGAACAUUGGACUGCCCACCCCUUCGAACGAAUGGAUAAAGAAUGUGCGGGGGACUAGCUAGGACUUGUGUCACCCCGUGAGCAAUGCCCGAAUCUGCUGCCUUUCUCUCUUGUUCCUUUUCUUUGUGCGUGUUCCUCCGUGCCUUCUGAGAGGACUCUUUUUCCCAAGGAUUUUUGUUGGUGCGCGCGUGAGAGAGAGGGAGAGAAGCGAUGCAGUGGCGCCCUACUUUCUAAAGUGGCGCCAAAUGUGCUUGGGGCGGCAACGGAGAAAACUUUCCAGCGGAUGUCAGCUGAUCAGAAACUGAGUCCUAGUGAUUGUUUCCCAAGGAGCUGGUCAUUCUCUCUCUCCCUGAGCCCCGGCACGCCCCAUGCGGCCACACCACCCCCGCCCGGCCUCCCCCACCACUG